AGCUUUGCGCAGUGGCAGUAUCGUAGCCAAUGAGGUUUAUCCAAGGCGCGAUUAUUGCUAAUUGAAAGUUUCCUUAUAUAAACAUCUUCAUGAAAAUUUGAGAAAUCCUAUGAAU
rnacentral:snRNA from 1 species